AACGAACGCUGGCGGCAGGCCUAACACAUGCAAGUCGAGCGCUCUCUUCGGAGGGAGCGGCGGACGGGUGAGUAACGCGUGGGAAUAUGCCCUUUGGUACGGAAUAGCCUCUGGAAACGGAGAGUAAUACCGUAUGUGCCCUUCGGGGGAAAGAUUUAUCGCCAAAGGAUUAGCCCGCGUUGGAUUAGGUAGUUGGUGAGGUAACGGCUCACCAAGCCGACGAUCCAUAGCUGGUUUGAGAGGAUGAUCAGCCACACUGGGACUGAGACACGGCCCAGACUCCUACGGGAGGCAGCAGUGGGGAAUCUUAGACAAUGGGGGAAACCCUGAUCUAGCCAUGCCGCGUGAGUGACGAAGGCCCUAGGGUCGUAAAGCUCUUUCGCCAGGGAUGAUAAUGACAGUACCUGGUAAAGAAACCCCGGCUAACUCCGUG
rnacentral:rRNA from 1 species